GCAGUGGGAGCACGCUUAGGCGUGUGACUGCGUACCUUUUGUAUAAUGGGUCAGCGACUUAUAUUCUGUAGCAAGGUUAACCGAAUAGGGGAGCCGAAGGGAAACCGAGUCUUAACUGGGCGUUAAGUUGCAGGGUAUAGACCCGAAACCCGGUGAUCUAGCCAUGGGCAGGUUGAAGGUUGGGUAACACUAACUGGAGGACCGAACCGACUAAUGUUGAAAAAUUAGCGGAUGACUUGUGGCUGGGGGUGAAAGGCCAAUCAAACCGGGAGAUAGCUGGUUCUCCCCGAAAGCUAUUUAGGUAGCGCCUCGUGAAUUCAUCUCCGGGGGUAGAGCACUGUUUCGGCAAGGGGGUCAUCCCGACUUACCAACCCGAUGCAAACUGCGAAUACCGGAGAAUGUUAUCACGGGAGACACACGGCGGGUGCUAACGUCCGUCGUGAAGAGGGAAACAACCCAGACCGCCAGCUAAGGUCCCAAAGUCAUGGUUAAGUGGGAAACGAUGUGGGAAGGCCCAGACAGCCAGGAUGUUGGCUUAGAAGCAGCCAUCAUUUAAAGAAAGCGUAAUAGCUCACUGGUCGAGUCGGCCUGCGCGGAAGAUGUAACGGGGCUAAACCAUGCACCGAAGCUGCGGCAGCGACGCUGAUGCGUUGUUGGGUA
rnacentral:rRNA from 1 species